rnacentral:lncRNA from 10 species
AUGGUUUCCAACUUCAUUUAUGUCCCCGCAAAGAACUUAUCCAGGUAUUUUAAAAUGUCUUAGAAAUCAUCUUUCACAUUCUACAGAAGUCACAGAAGCCAACACACAACUCCAGAGUUAAACAUAUUAAACCCCUGUCAUCAGAGAGAACUUUCAAAAAAUCUUGAGAUGGGACCCAUUGGCUCAGACUGAGUCAGAUGUCUACCCUUGGACCAAUCAACUGUGGUCUCUGUGAAUGUAGGCUACUAUUAUUGCCCUAUUUGAGUUUUCUUCCCACUCAUGAGCCAAUCAACUCUAGACAGAAAAGGGAAUGAUCUGAAGCUUGGAAGUUCUCACAGGAACCCUAUAAAUGAAGAAGAGGACAGGACAUGUUUUAAGACAAAGAAAAACGCUAUGCAACCAAAAUACAUCUACUACAAUAACAGUGAUUAUUAAAAAGUCAUUUAAUUUCUCUAAGCCUCAAUUUUCUCUUCUCUAAAAGUGUAUGAAUUGUCUAUUGCUAUGGAUAUGUAUCAAAUAAGAUACUUUAAAAGUUUUAAAUGACAAACUUCUAUACAGUUCUAAAAGGUUGCUCUGAUUAUUACACUGGUGUCACCAAAGUGGUUUCUAGAUUCUAUUUCUGCAGAGCUUUCAUUUGUAAAAUUGGAAUGAUUUUCUCUACUUUUUAUGGUUAUGGAC